rnacentral:rRNA from 1 species
UAUUUUAACUAUACGAAGGUAUUGAAAUAAGGCUUUAAAUGGGUGCUAAGAGAAUGGUUUAACGAAGAUAGGCUUUUUUCUUUUUUUUAUUAAAAGUUGAUUUAAAAAUGAAAAGGUUUUUAUAAAAAUUUGGGACAAGAAGACCCUAUGAAUUUUGAUAUGAGAUUUUUUAAUUAAAUUUUUUUAAUAAAUUUUAAAUUUUUCUUUUAUUUGAUUGGGGUGAUUUUUAAAGAUUGGGAAUCUUUAAAUUUUUGAUAAUUGGAUCCAUUAAUAGUGAUUUGUUGAAUAAAAUACUCUAGGGAUAACAGCGUUAUUAUUUUGGAUAGUUCAUAUAGAUAAAAUAGUUUGCGACCUCGAUGUUGGAUUAAGAUACCCUUGGAGUGUAGAAGCUUCAAAAAUAGGGAAGUUUGCUCAACUUUUAAAUUCU